AGCGAACGCUGGCGGCAGGCCUAACACAUGCAAGUCGAACGAACCUUUCGGGGUUACUUGCGGACGGGGGAGUAACACGGGGGAACGUGCCGUUAGGCUUGGAAUAACUCAUGGAAACUUGUGCUAAUACCGGAUGUGUCCUGCGAGUGAAACAUUAAUCGCCUUUAGAGCGGCCGGCGUCCGUCUAGCCAGUUGGUUUAGGUAAUGGCUCACUAAGGCGAGGUUCAGUAGAGGGUCUGAGAGGAAGAUCAGACACAUCGGUACGGAGACGCAGCCCAAAAUCCUACGGGAGGCAGGAGUGGGGGAUCUUGCGAAAUGGCGGAAGGCAUGAAGGAGCUAUGCUGGGUGAAUGCUGAAGGUCUUAGGGUUGUACAAUUCUUUAACAGGGGACGAUAAUGACGGUACCCAAAGAAGAAGCCCCGGCUAACUUCGUG
rnacentral:rRNA from 1 species